GACGAACGCUGGCGGUGUGCUUCACACAUGCAAGUCGAACGAGGUAGCAAUACCUAGUGGCGGACGGGUGAGUAACGCGUGGGAAUCUGCCUUUAGAUGGGGGGAUAACGGGUCGAAAGACUCGCUAAUACCGCAUAUGACGAAAGUUGAAAGGAGUAAUCCGUCUAAAGAUGAGCCCGCGUCCGAUUAGCUAGUUGGUAGAGUAAAAGCCUACCAAGGCGACGAUCGGUAGCUGGUCUGAGAGGAUGAUCAGCCACAAAUGGGACUGAGACACGGCCCAUACUCCUACGGGAGGCAGCAGUGGGGAAUUUUACGCAAUGGGCGAAAGCCUGACGUAGCGACACCGCGUGAGCGAAGAAGCCCCUUGGGGUGUAAAGCUCUGUCAGCUGGAACGAAAAAAUGACGGUACCAGCAGAGGAAGCAUCGGCUAACUACGUG
rnacentral:rRNA from 1 species